rnacentral:rRNA from 1 species
UACGUAGGGACCAAGCGUUGUCCGGAAUCAUUGGGCGUAAAGAGCGUGUAGGCGGCUUGUUAAGUCUUGCGUGAAAUCUCGGGGCUCAACCCCGAGCGGUCGUGAGAAACUGGCAGGCUAGAGUGCGGGAGAGGAGAGUGGAAUUCCUGGUGUAGUGGUGAAAUGCGUAGAUAUCGGGAGGAAUACCAGUGGCGAAGGCGGCUUCUUGGCCUGUUCUUGACGCUGAGGCGCGAAAGCUGGGGGAGCAAACGGG